CGCUCAUCCAGAGAGGUGGAGGGACCGGCCCGAAGAAGCCUCGGCAACCGCUGAUCCAAUCAGCAGGUGCCAACUCCGGCAGAAUCCGCAGAAUGCGAUGAUUCUGGAAGAUGAGAG
rnacentral:ncRNA from 1 species